GGCGGAUUUGUGCGGCGGAUGUGACAGUCGCGGUAGAGGGGGGUGAUGAACCGCAAGCAUCUAAGCAAUCCAUAGGUCAAAUUGAUCCAAAAACUCCUGGCUAGACUCGCAGGGUUAGAAUUGGAGUUGAUGCUCCUGGGAGGGCGCCUUGCCCUGGGCCACCCAGCGCCCUUGAGAAGGCAAUAAGGGGGUUUGCUGACAAGCCAGGCAGCAUUGUUGUAAUCAUGCCAGCACCGGGGACAAGCUUUGAUACACUUGGGGAGACCUAUGCUUUUUACAAUCUCUACUCAUGGGAGAAGGGAUUUGGAAUAAGGUAUGGGAAGAGUAGGCUGAAUGUGGAGAGAACAAAAUGCAUGCAGGAAAUCGUUUGUGGAUGUACGGGCAAAGCAGGGGUGGAGAACACGAGAUCGUGCCGAUGCGAAUGCCCAGCAUUAAUAAGGUUGCUCUAUUUGAAGGACAAUGGUUGGUACAUAUCUGAACAUCGUGAACAACACAAUCAUUCGCUAUCUCCAACAUAUGGGCACACGAUUCACUGGCCGUCCCACAAUCACAUUGAUGCCUAUAGCAGAGACUUGGUAGAGCAGUUACGGCAGAACAAUGUGAAUUUAGCCAAAGUACACAGUAUAA